ACGGGAGGCAGCAGUGGGGAAUAUUGGGCAAUGGGCGAAAGCCUGACCCAGCGACGCCGCGUGAAGGAAGACGGUCUUCGGAUUGUAAACUUCUUUUAUAGAGGACGAAGUAAGUGACGGUACUCUAUGAAUAAGCCACGGCUAACUACGUGCCAGCAGCCGCGGUAAUACGUAGGUGGCGAGCGUUAUCCGGAUUUACUGGGUGUAAAGGGUGUGUAGGCGGGAUUGCAAGUCAGAUGUGAAAAUUAUGGGCUCAACUCAUAACCUGCAUUUGAAACUGUAGUUCUUGAGGGUCGGAGAGGUAACUGGAACUCCUGGUGUAGCGGUGAAAUGCGCAGAUAUCAGGAAGAACACCGGUGGCGAAGGCGGGUUACUGGACGAUUACUGACGCUGAGACACGAAAGUGUGGGGAGCAAACAGGAUUAGAUACCCUGGUA
rnacentral:rRNA from 1 species